UACGUAGGGGGCAAGCGUUUGUCCGGAAUUAUUGGGCGUAAAGGGCUCGUAGGCGGUCUGUCACGUCGGGAGUGAAAACCCGGGGCUCAACCCCGGGCCUGCAUUCGAUACGGGCAGACUAGAGUUCGGUAGGGGAGUCUGGAAUUCCUGGUGUAGCGGUGAAAUGCGCAGAUAUCGGGAGGAACACCAAUGGCGAAGGCAGCUUGCUGGGACGGUACUGACGCUGAGGCGCGAAAGCGUGGGGAGCAAACAGG
rnacentral:rRNA from 1 species